AUAUUAGGCUCACAUGCUUGCUUUAGUGCACCGAAAGGGGGAGAAACGUAUUUACCAAUACAAAAGUUGCACCGUAACUUAGUCAACAACUUCACUAUUUCAGCUGGACAGGAGUGCGACGCGUAGCUGGGAAGCGUGAACAGAUUCAUACAAGCAGAUGCGCGGAGGAACCCGUCGCUAGCCGAGCUGCACCACGCGUCAAGCUGACAACAAGCACCGUGAGACACGGCGAAUAGCUGACACGGGGAAAAGCUCACAGCCGGCAUCGCUGUAACCUCAGGCAGGGUCUUGGGCUCUUAGUGCCGUCAGCUGCUCCUGUCAAGGUCACGCUAUGCUCAGCAAGGUGUCUUUACCAGAACGAGGGACUGAAGGGCUGUAAUCCUCCAGUCAGCAACGUUUGAUACUGCAAAUGAGAGCGAGCAAGUGAGAAACCGGCCCGCUGCCUUCCUCUCGCCUGCUUCCCGUUGCGGCUGCAGCUGUGGUGGGAGGCCCUAGACAGCAGCGAUGGAAAAUAAACCUGCUCUGGAAGGAGGGUGGACCAGCAAAAUGGGCCACAGCAAACAGCAGCUCCAAGCAACUGCAGUGUCUCCCUGAGGCAAUGGUAUGUGGUGCUGAAGCCCCUUCCCUGUUUCUGGUCCGUGAGAUUCAUCCAUGGUCUUCACGCAGCCGUUUCGCUGGCAAGCCACAAUCUGCUGGACGUUGAGAGGCUUAGGUUCACAGAUCAACGGCACCUGCGUGAGAAGCAUUAAGAUUUGGAAUACUGCCACUGUUUGCUGUAGACCACAGGAAAGAAAUCUUUACUUUGAAAGCCUGUGCUCUGCUUUACAUUCGCCAGGAUUAUCUAGGGCUUCCACAGACUGCCAGGACCUGCUUCUCCUGUACACUGAGGCAUCUUUGUACCAUCUGGGUGAAGUGAAAGAGGCUCUAGGUCUCUAAAAAUGCAAAUUCUGUCACAACUGUAAUUUAGCUUAUACCCACAGUAAUAACUGUUUGCAUCAUUAAAACGAUAUAAGUACUGUAAAUAAAGACCAGAAUUUCUGGACCAAG